GCUCCUAUAGCUCAGCUGGAAGAGCGCAAGACUGAAGCGACGUAGUCAUUCUUGAGGUCACCUGUUCGAACCAGGUUGGGAGCA